AUGUAUGUAUAUAUAUAAAUAUAUACCUACAUGCACACACACACACACAAGCACUAAGGUGGGCACACAAAUGCAAAAUAAGGUGGGAAACAUAGUACUUGAUUAUCAAAGGUAGAGUAAUAUUCUUUUUUUGAAAGUUGAAAGAAUCUUCACAAACUGUUUGUCAGCUUUAACGAAAAGUACCUCUCUCUCUCAUAUAUAUAUAUCACAAUACCAGACCAUCAGAUCCUAUUAUACACUGCCGGUCACAAUGCGCUUCCAAUUCUGUCAAACUGCCCAACCAAUGCCAGCAUGGAAAACAGACAAAACAGACAUUAGAUAAUAGUGAUGAUGUUCAUGGGUGGCCUGAGGAAGUUAUCAGUGCCACCAACAAUGCAGUGAAUUGGCAGUGUCGAUUGAACAUCAGAUAAAAUACAUUGUGUGGUUUCUUUCAAUUCUUUGGACUCUAAGUUCAAACCCAUCCCUGCUUUCGGGAUAAAAAUAAAUAACUAAAUAAAUAUAAAUAAGGUUCAAGUCUGCUGAAUGGCAGAAUUCUUAAAGGACCGGAUGGUUUUUUUUUUUAUGCCCUGCAGCAUCUGUUGCAGUUCUUUACAUUCUGACUUCAAAUUCUGCUAGGGGUUCAUGUUCCAUUGGUGGCCAAAGCUAAUCAUCUGACUAUGGGACUACAAUUGAUUAUGGAGCUUGCAAUGUGUAAAGGGUCGUGGCUGGCUGCUAGAUAAAACAGUCAAAUGCUAAUGACUUAGUUUGUUAACAAUAUUGUACUGAGAAAAUCCAAAGGCGUCUUCAGUUAUGUGAUAAUGAUGAUGAUGAUCAUCAUCAAUUAACGUCCCUUUUUCUAUGGUGGCAUAGGCUGGGUGGUUCAAUGAACCAGAGGGCUGGGCAGUUGUGCCAAGCUCCAGUGCCUGCUUUGGCAGAGUUUCUAUGACUGGAUGUUCUUAAUGCCAACCAGUUUAUAGUGUGUACUGUGUGUGCUUUUUUUUUUGUGUGGCAAUAGCCCUUAACGAGAUCACCAAGUACCUACAUGACAAGACCCCUCAUCUGAGUUCGCUAUGGUGUUGAAAGAUGUGAAAUACGAUAGAGUGACAGGAACAGGUGACUUGUUGAAGAAAGGGUGAAUAUAAGGCUUAUCCAACUGGAAAAUGAGAGAGAGAGAGAGAGAUGGUGAGGGCAUACCUUCAAAAGCCAAGGUGAAUAUAAGAGAGGAAGAUAAAUGUGCUAAUGUGUGAAAAUAGUGUGACAUGAUUUGAGAUGGGGAAUGAGUUGGAGAGAGUGAAUAUCGGUUUGAGAAGUGAAGGAAGGAAAUAAAUGUGAAGAAGAGAGGAGGAUGUGAUAAAGUCAUUAGUAAAGUGUUGGGGGUAUAAAUGAUAUCAUUUGCAGUACUUGGAUGAGUAGUAUCAUAGUGAAGAGAUUGAGGGUGGGAUGGGUGUCGGAAGGUGAUAUUAAUAAUAAUUAAAUUCUGCCUGGAUUAACUUUACUGUUUGUCCAUUCAGGGUUGAUAAAAUAAGUACCAGUUGGUCACCGGGGUUGAUGCAGUCGACUUACUCACUCCUUGAAAUUGCUGGCCUUGUGCUAAAAUUCGAAACUGAUUUCAAUAAUAAUUAGAUUCUACUGAAGUCAACUUUACCGUUCAUCCUUUUGGGGUCAAUGCAAUCAUUUUUCCCACUCCUUGGAAUUGCUGGCCUUGUGCCAAAAUUUGAAGCUGAUAUUAAAUAGUAAUUAAAUUUUCUUUUCUCUUUACAUUUGUGUUUCUUUUAUUGAAUAUGUAUCUUGCUGUGCCCAGCCCUCACUCAAAAGUGUUUCAUUUCCCAUUACAUAAUGGAAAGAUAUCAACCACAUCACAAACAAGCAUUCACAACCUCCAGAUCAUAGUCACCACAUGGUUGUUUGUUCUGCAAUAUAUAGCAGUCAAACCACACCUUUCCCCUUUUUUCUCACUUUAUAUUCUAUUUUCUACUCCUUCAUUGUUGUUCUAAUUUUCUCCCUUUUAUUUAUAAGACAAAUGUCCCCUCACAAUCAAUAACUCUGUCCCUUACUCUUGUCCCCUCACAAUCAAUAACUCUGUCCCUUACUCUUGUCUCCUCACAAUCAAUAACUCUGUCUCUUACUCAUCUCUCACUUUCUCAAUUCCUCUCUCUAUCCCUUACCACAUACACACACUCUCUCUUUAUUUUCUCCUCUCUCUUGAUAGAAAAAGGGAUUCUGUUUGUGGCAUAAACUUAGAGCAAAUGUAAUUGAAUGAUUCUUAGGUUUAUUUCUUCCACCUGUAAAAACUGGGUUCUGGGUCUGUGUGGUUUGCUCAGACUAUUAACCAAAUCUGGUCCCUGAUUUCAUAGCAUAGAAAACUGACAGAGAUCCCACCUCACAACGAGAUGGUUGAACAGGAAAAAUUUCCUCUUAUGCACACAUGCACUUAUGCUUGUAAUUGUGCUUAUUCCGACACAGAUACAAGAAAUUACAGAAACACACAUACUGGCCUGCUACACACACUGAUGCACACACACACACACACACACACAUGCAGCAACAGACAAGCUUCUACCCAUUUGCAUAUACAUGUAGAUACAAUUACACAGUCAUGGAUAUAUGCACACAUUAAAACGAAUACAUACACACACAUACACACACAGGGUGGGUCAAAAGUAGUGCCUAAUUCCUGUUUUUGCGUUGAUACGUAUGACUUCUUAAUUGGGGGAUACUUUUGACUCUCAAUUCUUUGUCCAAUGAGUUUGGGACAUCAAAGAGUAUUAACAACAUGAUACAAGAUCCAGAUUCAGUAACUUUCAAAACUGUCGCUAAUAAACCUGCAGAGCAACAACAGCAUCACUUCCCAGAAACUGAGUCCUACUUCUUAUGACCCACCCUGUAUGUAUGUGUGUGUGUGUAUAUAUGUGUGUGUGUGUGUGUAUAUAUAUAUAUAUGUGUGUGUGUGGAUGGGUGUUUGUGUGUGUGUAAACAAUGACUUGUUAAAAGUCAGAUAGGGCAUGGUACUUUACUAGUCAUCUACGACAUAUAGUUGUUAAAGUCACAUAUGAUAUAAGUUAGUCACAUGUGGCAAGAUAAUAUAAUAAAAAACAUAACUAUGAUACUAUGUUGAAGUCAUAUACAAUCAUGAUCCUAUGUUAAAAGUGAUAUAUGACGUGAUACUACUGUGUUAAAAGAUAUGAAUAAUAUUAUACUCUGUUAAUGAUUAUGUGUGAUAUAAUACUGUGUAAGAUAAAUGUUGACUCUUUAUAAUUUAAUUUUUUUAUUACUUUGCAAUAAAACCUUUCAAAAAACUUUUCAAAAAAUAAC